CAAGCCUGGCGAGGAGGAGGAUGAGGAGGUGUGGGAGGAUGGAGACAGCGGCCACCAAAGGCUGGGGAAGGCCCAGCUCCAGCAGGGAAACAUUUAAACAAGAGGUGCCAAAAAGAAUUGAAGCUUCUGCACAAUGAAAUCUGCAAGAAUCCAACUUCAAAUCCUCCUGGAUUGUCACCGGUCCAACUUCCAUGGACUGGUCACCGUGGCCAGGAGUGUCCAGUCCUGCUGGGAAUGCACUGGACCAGGAUGUCAUUUUCACUUUAUACAGCACAGGAGCCGUUCCCUUGCCCAGAGGAGCAGCAAGUGCCUCAAAUCCCCAGGAUGGACCACAGAGAAAAUAGCAGGAAUAUGGAAAUCCCCCACACUGGGAGUUUGUGGUGCUCUGGAUUACAUUUUGGAUUUAUAAUGUUAAAGGGAGGCUCUGGAAUGGCUUAUCUCCUUUUUAUUUUUAUUGUUCUCACUGCUCUUGUUGCUGU